ensembl:lncRNA novel transcript
CAGGCUGAGGCCUUAGCCUUGCUCUUGGCUUGACAGCCAGAUACUGACAGCCAGUAUUUGAAUAGGAACCUGUUUGUUUCGGGUGAUCAGGAUUAAUUGUUAAUAUUCUCUUGGAGGGAACUGGGACAACCUCAGCUGACAAGCCUUUGAUUUGGAUGUCAUGGACUAUGGAAAUGAAGUUACACAAAAAGCAAAUUUGAGUGAUUUUCAUAUUCAAGUUCAAAGUGGGUCAUAAAGCAGCGGAGACAACUUGAAAUAUCAACAAUGCAUUUAGCCCAGGAACGCUAAUGAAUAUAUAGUGCAGCGAGGGUUCAAGAAGUUUUGCAAAGGAGAAGAGAGCCUUAAGGAUGAGGAGUAUAGCGGCCAGCCGUUGGAAGCUGACAGCGACUAACUGAGAAAAAUCACUGAAGCUGGUCCUCUUGCAGUACACGAGAAAUUGCCAAAAAACUCAGUGUCUACGAUUCUAUGGUUGUUCAGCUUUUGAAGCAGAUUGGAAAGGUGAAAAAGCUUGAUAAGUAGGUGUCUCAUGAGCUGAGUGAAAAUUUAAAAAUCAUCGUUUUGAAGUGUCGCGUUCUCUUAUUCUACACAACAACGACAAACCAUUUCUAGAUCGGAUUGAGAUGUGCGAUGAAAAGUGGAUUGUAUACGGCAACCGGCGAUGACCAGGUCAGUGGUUGGACCACAGAGAAGCUCCAAAGCACUUCCCAAAGCCAAAUUUGCACCGAGAAAACGUCAUGGUCACUGUUUGGUGGUCUGCUGCCGGUCUGAUCCACUACAGCUUUCUGAAUCCUGGCGAAAUCGUUACAUUCGAGAAGUAUUCGCAGCAAAUCGAUGCGAUGCACAGAAAACUGCAGUGUCAACUGAAAGGGCCCAAUUCUUCUUCACGACAGCACCUGACCGCAUGUUGUACAACCAAUGCUUCAAAAGUUGAAUGAACUGGGCUAUGAAGUUUUGCCUCAUCCGCCAUAUUCACCUGACCUCUAGCCAACAGACUUCUUCAAGCAUCUCGAGAACUUUUUGCAGGGAAAAUGCUUUCACAACCAGCAGGAUGCAGAAAAUGCUUUCCAAGAGUUCAUCAAAUCCCAAAGCACAGAUUUUUACGCUACAAGAUUAAACAAACUUAUUUCUUGUUGGCAAAAAUGUGUUCAUUGCAAUGGUUCCUAUUUUGAUUAAUAAAGAUGUGUGUGAGCCUAGUUAUAAUGUUUUAAAAU